rnacentral:rRNA from 1 species
GGCUACACACGUGCUACAAUGGGUAGUACAGAGAGUCGCAAAGCCGUGAGGUAGAGCUAAUCUCAGAAAACUAUUCUUAGUUCGGAUUGUACUCUACAACUCGAGUACAUGAAGUUGGAAUCGCUAGUAAUCGCAAAUCAGCAAUGUUGCGGUGAAUACGUUCUCGGGUCUUGUACACACCGCCCGUCACACCACGAGAGUUGGUUGCACCUGAAGUAGCAGGCCUAACCGUAAGGAGGGAUGCUCCGAGGGUGUGAUUAGCGAUUGGGGUGAAGUCGUAACAAGGUAUCCGUACGGGAACGU